CACUGGUAACCACAUCUAUGAUCAUAAGUAAAACACAAGUAUAGGCAAACACUACCCAAAAAAAAAACCAGAGGCUUCUUCUAGCAUUUAUGUAAAUUGGUGUUUUACGUGAGACUGCUACUAUAUAUCAUAAGCUUUUUCCUCGCACAGUGGAGGUGAUCUUGCGGCUGUCUAUUCUUCUAGGCCCCAUGAGAUUUUACAUGACUUUCAUUGGUGAUGGAGUAGUACCUUACAAUACAUAGUAUGACUACAAGUAUUGUAGUUGAAAUUGUUGCUUUGUCUACUUAAGGAGAAACAGAAGUGCCAUUUAAAUAGCAGAAUUGCAAUUUAAAGAGCAGGUUGAAGUUGCUGCUUUGUCGAUUUCAGAAGAGCAGAAGUGCGCAAUUUAGAGAGCAGGUACUCAUAUGUUUCUUAUGCCUUUUAUUGAAACUACCAUGAAAUGAGUUUAUUCUAUUUUAUAUGUUCUUAGCAUGGGAAUCUAAUUUUUCUAGAAUUUUUAGUAAAGAACUUGGGACAGAAUUGCAGAAUUUAUUCUAAUAAUCUGAUUUACAAAUUCUCCAAAGCACCAUGACGAUUAAUUUUAAAUCUUUUGCAACUUUGGGCUUAUUGUAUCAUUAAUUGUUACCUUCGAAAUUCUUCCUUACUCCUUACUCAAUUUAGGAUAGCAACACUUGUAACAGGCAAGGUUAUAUAUAUAUAUAUAUAUAUAUAUAUAAAACCAAAGUACCUAACUCAGGUCCCUAAUCAAUAACACACUUCUCUACACAUUUUCACCACCAGAAUGAACUCACAGAUUUUUUUUUUCUCAUGGUCUACUGUUGUUCUUGUUUCUUUGUUUAUCACAUCCUUGGCUUUCAUAGAGCUUCCUGUGUCUAUGCACUGAUCUGAUGAUCAGUACUCAAGUUGUAGUACCUAUACAUUCAACUGCGUUGAGAUCACAGAUGUGGGCUAUCAAUUCUGGGGAGCUGGCCAAGCUGGUGCUUGUGGCAAUCCUUAGAGCUCACCUGUGAGAAAAAUACUACCACCACAGACAUUAUGAAAAUGAAGAACAGGGUUUUGGAAAUGGAUUCCAAAACCAAAAACCAAGAGACUCCGUAUUGCGUAGGAGGAUGACAUGGAUGGAAUUUGUUUGCCCAACUUUGUGAAUAGCAAACUCUAUUCCAAGCUUUUCCACAGCAUCACACUCUUACAAAAUCUUACCAUAAUCUAUGGUUGUAAGGAACAUCAACCUCCUAUAAUGUAUGAUUACGUGUUCUAUGAAAAUUUCACUUGCCCUGUACAUGGGCAUGGGCUUCUAAUAGUAGAAUAUGACGGCCUGAGUUGUGUCUUGUUUAUUAAAAACCAAGCUAUCUCAAGUGAUCUAUUAUUUUUUUUAUCAGAGUC